AAAAGGAUGUUGUCUGAUUCUCUGAAAGAGAAAUGUCCUGAGAUCUGAUUAGGAUACGGACCAGUUGGGCUUUAUGAGAAUUUAGCUGGCAAGUGACGGGCUUUUAUGGCAAUGGCUGGAGGGAAGAGAACAAGACGUCAGUGAAAGGCGGGGAUAAAGAAGAUUUCACGUCUUCAAAUUCCCGUUGUCUCAGUCUACGAAGGGUGCCUGUUUUUCCUGUUUCCAUAAUAAUGUGAUGUGCACUAGUGUUUGGAACAUGGGGAAGAUGAGAUGCCGAGAGUCAAGAAUAAUCCAGUGUUCAAUUGCACAAACAAUGGUCCUGCAUUUUAUUUAAAGACUUCCUUGGAACUACCAAACUUUAAUGUCAGUAAGUUCAUCCUCAAGUCUGACAUUGAAUUGCCUGCUGAAAAAGGUUUGAGAAAGACGAGAUCGUCACUCCUGUAGCUGGGAGGGCCACGUGACCCCAGAUGAUGCUGACAGCUGCAUCAGGAGCUCUGUGCACUGACAGCUAGUUUUCUUUCUAUCCUACUGUCUUUUUAGGGGAAUUCCAAAGGCACAACUGGCAUCUCUUUUUUGUUCUCUCUCAUAAAUCAUUAUGAGGGGGUUGGGGGAGGGUCUGGUAUUUUGCAACUGUAAUGUACCCCGAAAUCAAUGUGAAAUUUAAGGCUUCACAUUUGUGUGAGCAUUUGGAUCCCCCUGAGUAGUCAUUCAUGAUACCUUGUGAAUUCCUAAUAAAUACAAACGAUAGCUAACAUAAAAAACUCAGCUAAAUUGUAGGUGUUAUUAAAUAUAUUAUUUCCAGUACUAAUCUUUUCUUUCAUGGUUAGUGCUUCUUGUGUCCUGAUUAAGUAAUCUUUGUUCACCUCCGAAUCAUGAAGGUGUUCUCCUACGUGGUUUUCAAAGAAGCCUUAUUGCUCUACCUUUCACAUUAAGGUCUGCAAUCCAUCUCAAAUCAGUGUUCGCGUAUUGUGUGAAGUAAACGUCAAUGUUCAGUUUUAUUCCACAUGGUAUCAAACUGCUCAACCACUGUUUCUGUGAAAGCCCCACAUUUUCCCCUACUCAACUGCAGGGGCAGCCCAGCUGCCAAUCAAGUGGCCAUCUAUCCGUGCGUCUGCGUUUGGAGUCUCUCUUCUGU
rnacentral:lncRNA from 1 species